AGCGCAUAGGACGGGUAUUGCAGGUUCAGCGCCUGCAUGGCGCUUUCGAUUAGGUCCAGGCGGCGCUGGUGCAAGGCCACGAUGCGUUGC
rnacentral:tRNA from 1 species